AGAGAGACAAGGCCACAUUUCUUCGGAGCAUCUCCGUGCUGUGCUGAAGCGCCUUGAACCACGGCCUGACCCAGGGCUUGGAUCUGUUCUGUGACAUGUACCAGCUGUCAGAGAACAUCAAGGCGCUGCUGGAAGAAGAGCCAAGGGACCACCUGUGCACAGACCUUCGGCAUCUUUCCAUGCUGGGUCUGGAGAAAUUGAGCUUGGUGGACACAGCGCUGGAGGGCAAAGCCAAAAACCUCCUCUGCACGUGU